rnacentral:rRNA from 1 species
CGCGUAGGCGGUUUGGUCAGUCGGAUGUGAAAGCCCCGGGCUUAACCUGGGAAUUGCAUUCGAUACUGCCAGGCUAGAGUGUAGUAGAGGGAAGCGGAAUUCCAGGUGUAGCGGUGAAAUGCGUAGAUAUCUGGAGGAACAUCAGUGGCGAAGGCGGCUUCCUGGACUAACACUGACGCUGAGGUGCGAAAGCGUGGGGAGCAAACA